rnacentral:rRNA from 1 species
GACGAACGCUGGCGGCGUGCUUAACACAUGCAAGUCGAACGGAAAGGCCCCUUUGGGGGUACUCGAGUGGCGAACGGGUGAGUAACACGUGAGUAACCUGCCCUUGACUUCGGGAUAACUUCAGGAAACUGGGGCUAAUACCGGAUAGGAAUCCUUGCUGCAUGGUGGGGGUUGGAAAGCUUUGGCGGUUUUGGAUGGACUCGCGGCUUAUCAGCUUGUUGGUGGGGUAGUGGCUUACCAAGGCUUUGACGGGUAGCCGGCCUGAGAGGGCGACCGGCCACAUUGGGACUGAGAUACGGCCCAGACUCCUACGGGAGGCAGCAGUGGGGAAUAUUGCACAAUGGGCGGAAGCCUGAUGCAGCAACGCCGCGUGCGGGAUGACGGCCUUCGGGUUGUAAACCGCUUUCAGCAGGGGCGAAGCUUGUGGUGACGGUACCUGCAGAAGAAGCACCGGCUAACUACGUG